rnacentral:rRNA from 1 species
GAUUGAACGCUGGCGGCAUGCCUUACACAUGCAAGUCGAACGGCAGCACGGGUGCUUGCACCUGGUGGCGAGUGGCGAACGGGUGAGUAAUACAUCGGAACAUGUCCUGUAGUGGGGGAUAGCCCGGCGAAAGCCGGAUUAAUACCGCAUACGAUCUACGGAUGAAAGCGGGGGACCUUCGGGCCUCGCGCUAUAGGGUUGGCCGAUGGCUGAUUAGCUAGUUGGUGGGGUAAAGGCCUACCAAGGCGACGAUCAGUAGCUGGUCUGAGAGGACGACCAGCCACACUGGGACUGAGACACGGCCCAGACUCCUACGGGAGGCAGCAGUGGGGAAUUUUGGACAAUGGGCGAAAGCCUGAUCCAGCAAUGCCGCGUGUGUGAAGAAGGCCUUCGGGUUGUAAAGCACUUUUGUCCGGAAAGAAAUCCUUGGCUCUAAUACAGUCGGGGGAUGACGGUACCGGAAGAAUAAGCACCGGCUAACUACGUGCCAGCAGCCGCGGUAAUACGUAGGGUGCGAGCGUUAAUCGGAAUUACUGGGCGUAAAGCGUGCGCAGGCGGUUUGCUAAGACCGAUGUGAAAUCCCCGGGCUCAACCUGGGAACUGCAUUGGUGACUGGCAGGCUAGAGUAUGGCAGAGGGGGGUAGAAUUCCACGUGUAGCAGUGAAAUGCGUAGAGAUGUGGAGGAAUACCGAUGGCGAAGGCAGCCCCCUGGGCCAAUACUGACGCUCAUGCACGAAAGCGCGGGGAGCAAACAGGAUUAGAUACCCUGGUAGUCCACGCCCUAAACGAUGUCAACUAGUUGUUGGGGAUUCAUUUCCUUAGUAACGUAGCUAACGCGUGAAGUUGACCGCCUGGGGAGUACGGUCGCAAGAUUAAAACUCAAAGGAAUUGACGGGGACCCGCACAAGCGGUGGAUGAUGUGGAUUAAUUCGAUGCAACGCGAAAAACCUUACCUACCCUUGACAUGGUCGGAAUCCCGCUGAGAGGUGGGAGUGCUCGAAAGAGAACCGGCGCACAGGUGCUGCAUGGCUGUCGUCAGCUCGUGUCGUGAGAUGUUGGGUUAAGUCCCGCAACGAGCGCAACCCUUGUCCUUAGUUGCUACGCAAGAGCACUCUAAGGAGACUGCCGGUGACAAACCGGAGGAAGGUGGGGAUGACGUCAAGUCCUCAUGGCCCUUAUGGGUAGGGCUUCACACGUCAUACAAUGGUCGGAACAGAGGGUUGCCAACCCGCGAGGGGGAGCUAAUCCCAGAAAACCGAUCGUAGUCCGGAUUGCACUCUGCAACUCGAGUGCAUGAAGCUGGAAUCGCUAGUAAUCGCGGAUCAGCAUGCCGCGGUGAAUACGUUCCCGGGUCUUGUACACACCGC